rnacentral:rRNA from 1 species
UUACGGGGUGCAGCAGGCGCGAAACCUUUACACUGCACGACAGUGCGAUAAGGGAAUCCCAAGUGCGUAGGCAUAGAGCCUACGCUUUUGUCCACCGUAGGGAGGUGGACGAAUAAGGGCUGGGCAAGACCGGUGCCAGCCGCCGCGGUAAUACCGGCAGCCCGAGUGAUGGCCGAUCUUAUUGGGCCUAAAGCGUCCGUAGCUGGCCGCACAAGUCCAUCGGAAAAUCCACCCGCUCAACGGGUGGGCGUCCGGUGGAAACUGUGUGGCUUGGGACCGGAAGGCGCGACGGGUACGUCCGGGGUAGGAGUGAAAUCCUGUAAUCCUGGACGGACCGCCGAUGGCGAAAGCACGUCGCGAGAACGGAUCCGACAGUGAGGGACGAAAGCUAGGGUCUCGAACCGGAUUAGAUACCCGGGUAGUCCUAGCCGUAAACAAUGCCUGCUAGGUGUGGCUCCCACUACGAGUGGGUGCUGUGCCGUAGGGAAGCCGCUAAGCAGGCCGCCUGGGAAGUACGUCCGCAAGGAUGAAACUUAAAGGAAUUGGCGGGGGAGCACAAUCACUAGUGAAUUC